GCUUACGGCCAUACCACCCUGAAUGCGCCCGAUCUCGUCUGAUCUCGGAAGCUAAGCAGGGUCAGGCCUGGUUAGUUACUGGAUGGGAGACCGCCUGGGAUACCAGGUGCUGUAAGCU
rnacentral:rRNA from 1 species